AUUGAACGCUGGCGGCAGGCCUAACACAUGCAAGUCGAACGAGUGGUGGACGGGUGAGUAAUGUCUGGGAAACUGCCCGAUGGAGGGGGAUAACUACUGGAAACGGUAGCUAAUACCGCAUCACAUCGGCUGUGCCCAGAUGGGAUUAGCUAGUAGGUGGGGUAACGGCUGACCGAGGCGACGAUCCCUAGCUGGUCGGAGAGGAUGACCAGCCACACUGGAAUUGAGACACGGUCAAGACGCCUACGGGAGGGAGCAGUGGGGAAUAUUGCACAAUGGGCGCGAUCCUGAUGCAGCCAUGCCGCGUGUAUGAAGAAGGCCUUCGGGUUGUAAAGUACUUUCAGCGAGGAGGCGUUACUCGCAGAAGAAGCAUCGGCUAACUCCGUGCCAGCAGCCGCGGUAAUAC
rnacentral:rRNA from 1 species